GAGUUUGAUCAUGGCUCAGGAUGAACGCUGGCGGCGUGCCUAACACAUGCAAGUCGAGCGAUUUACUUCGGUAAAGAGCGGCGGACGGGUGAGUAACGCGUGGGUAACCUGCCUCAUACACAUGGAUAACAUACCGAAAGGUAUGCUAAUACAGGAUAAUAUAAGAGAUUCACAUGGAUUUCUUAUCAAAGCUCCGGCGGUAUGAGAUGGACCCGCGUCUGAUUAGCUAGUUGGUAAGGUAAUGGCUUACCAAGGCGACGAUCAGUAGCCGACCUGAGAGGGUGAUCGGCCACAUUGGAACUGAGACACGGUCCAAACUCCUACGGGAGGCAGCAGUGGGGAAUAUUGCACAAUGGGCGAAAGCCUGAUGCAGCAACGCCGCGUGAGUGAUGAAGGCCUUCGGGUCGUAAAACUCUGUCCUCAAGGAAGAUAAUGACGGUACUUGAGGAGGAAGCCCCGGCUAACUACGUGCCAGCAGCCGCGGUAAUAC
rnacentral:rRNA from 1 species